rfam:Solanum tuberosum cultivar DM 1-3 516 R44 scf01311_2, whole genome shotgun sequence.
GUGAUCCCAAGAGUUCCCUUGACCACUUCAUGAUGGUUUAAUAACUUCAUUUUUUGUGCCCUCCUGAAGUGUUUGGGGGAACUCCCGGGUUCAC